rnacentral:rRNA from 1 species
UACGUAGGGUGCAAGCGUUGUCCGGAAUUAUUGGGCGUAAAGAGCUCGUAGGCGGUCUGUCGCGUCUGCUGUGAAAACUCAGGGCUUAACCCUGAGCUUGCAGUGGGUACGGGCAGACUAGAGUGCGGUAGGGGAGACUGGAAUUCCUGGUGUAGCGGUGAAAUGCGCAGAUAUCAGGAGGAACACCGGUGGCGAAGGCGGGUCUCUGGGCCGUAACUGACGCUGAGGAGCGAAAGCAUGGGGAGCAACAGG